rnacentral:rRNA from 1 species
UACGAAGGGUGCAAGCGUUACUCGGAAUUACUGGGCGUAAAGCGUGCGUAGGUGGUGAGUUAAGUCUGUCGUGAAAGCCCCCGGGCUCAACCUGGGAAUGGCGAUGGAUACUGGCUCGCUAGAGUGCGGUAGAGGAGAGUGGAAUUCCCCGGUGUAGCAGUGAAAAUGCGUAGAGAUCGGGAGGAACAUCAGUUGCGAAGGCGGCUCUCUGGACCAGCACUGACACUGAGGCACGAAAGCGUGGGGAGCAAACAGG